UUCCAUAGUGUUGAGCUCAUUUCAGAGUAUCUGCCCUGCUCUGGUAAUUAAACUUUAGGACAUUGAAACUGGCUAGGAAAUAAUGAUUGGAUAGAAAAUAUUUUAUGCAUUUAUCCCCAGCCUACCAAU
ensembl:snoRNA